AUGCGCGUACAGUCUUUACUUGUUUUAUAAUUCAAAUAUUUCAUGAAUCAAUUUUAUAGCAAGUCAGUUUUCAGACCUAGUUUAAUCUGGUUAAAUUUGCUGUCACGUAAAAAUGAAGAUCAUUUAAAAAUACAUCAAUUUCUUCAUUUUAUUUUACGAAAAGGAAAUUGUUUGAAAAUUGUAAUAGCUGAAGAACGUUAAAGCAUGACGUCAUUACGGAACAAACAGUGCAACCGUUCAAAAUGGCUGCGACAAAGAGGAGUAGGUGUGUAAAUGGGAGGUUUAGAAAAUCUAACGAUACAAAAAAUAGAUUUUUAAACUUGAAAAAUAUAAAUAAAGAGAAGCAUUCCUAUCUCGAAGGAAGGAGGAUAAUAGAUUUGAAUUAUUUCGGAAAAAAAUAUGAUUCUGGAUGUGUAUCUUGUAGUGAGACAUUCAAAUGGUGUAACAUUAUUAAGGAGACCGUUUUCGGCUAUGCCAGUGUAUUCCAUUUCAAAUGUUCAAACUGUGGAGAAAUAUCGAAACUUUGUACAUCGGAUAUGCAAAGAAUUCCAGGAACUGAAUACAAAAAUCAAAGAAAACCGUACUCCUUUAAUGUGAAAGCGGCAUUAGCUAUGAUCCACGGUGGUGUAGGCGAAACUCACAUGAACGCGAUAUUCACUACACUGGGAAUACCGCCAGUUCAUUAUAGAACAUUGAAGAAACGAGAACGUGAUGUUGGAACGGAAAUUGAAGCUGCUAAGCGAUCGUGCCGUGUAGCCAGUGAAGAAGAGAGAAGAAGUAUUAUGAAUUGCCAAAAUUUAAAUGAAAGGUUAGAAAAUCAUGUACAUACAGAGAGCCAUUUUGAAAAUGAACAGAUGACAUUCGAUCAAGCCCUGGAAUUUCUAGAAAGCAAAGAAGGUAAUUUUUAGAGUAAAAGACAGUACAAUGGCACAUAAUAAAUAUGUACUUAGAUGUAAGAUGCAUCUCAAAAGUAAUUUCACUUUCCUACCUUUUAUUCAAUCAUUCCAGUUCCAUUACUUGAACUAGAGUGCGAAUAUAGAUUUUCAAUAAUUGAACUCUAAAGUGGCGAUGAAUACUUUAUAUUUCAUCAAUCAACCCAUGUUAUCAAUAACAUAUAAUAGGGUUAUUAUUAUAAUAGAAGAUCGAUCUACGCGCCUCGUGAGAUCCCUUCUGGCAAAAUCCACUCGACCCGAAUACAAAAUCUAAGAUCUAGCUACUGUUAUAAUGACCCUUUUAUUAUAUAUCACUACUUUUUUUUUGUUUGUUAUUAAACGAAAUCUUCUGUCAUGUACAUGUUAAUCACUGUUGAAAUGGAACUGAGUGGCUUUUAUAUGCGAACUAUGGCAGGUCAUGUAUAUCGAAUGAAAAUAGUCCGGCAACAUACAAUACAAAAGGUACGAUACGGAUAUUUUUUCUAGAUUUCGUGACUACAGUGAAAUCACACGAGGUUAUAAUACAGCAGAUUCGUGCAAGUGUAGUAGUGUCGACAAUGUCUUACAGGAAGACUUUUCCACAGGCGAAGCCGAUGAAGUAGCAGAUGAGAACGGCAGUGUUCGCGGAGAUACGCGAGAAAUGAAUCACGGAAAAUCACGUGACUGUGAAGAAGAAUUUCGUGACUACAGUGUAGUAGUGUCGACAAUGUCUUACAGAAAUAGUUUUCCACAGGCGUUAAAUGUCAUAUUUUUCUUUAAAAUUACUUCCAAUUUCUUGACUUCUUACUUCC
rnacentral:misc_RNA from 1 species